AGUAUAUUCUUGAUCGUGAAAGGAGAAGGGCAGAGAAGGAAGGACGGAAGGGAAUGGAUAGUGAAGAGGAACAGGAAGAGGAAGGAAGAUAAAAGAGUGCACACCGAGUGUAGACGAGUCCCUCUUCCCUUCCCUUCCCUGCUGCGGCUUCACCGACCCGAGGUGCGAGCCAGCGAGCACCGGGCCGCCGCCUCCCUGAGGCCCGCCCUCCACCUGGACACGACGUGACAGAUGCCACACCCUACCCGUAACACCUCCAUAGCCUACUUACCACCACCACCACCACCACCAUGGCCUACUCACCCGCCGCCGCCAGCAACAUCAGCCCCAGCAGCGUGGUCGCCCCCUGCAGCAGCGGCGUCACUGCCAUGGUCGUGGUCGUCAUGCAAC